UGUUUUGCAGGUUUUUCAUCACAUGGUUCUCAUUUUCCACUCAUUUAAAGGUUUUUCAGAUCUGGAAGACUUCUGGGCUAUAAAACUUCCAGAAAACUUCCAGAAGAUUUCCAGGACGUCUUCCAGACGACUUUCAGGAAGUCUUCUGACGGAGCCUUCUCCCAUCUCUCCCUUUCAUAAUAGAUCUAAGUGUUUUGGUUUUUAAUCAGUGGUUCUCAACUUCCACUUGGAUAUGUACUUUGUGUGUUCUAUAAAAGUAUAUAUAUCUAAUUUUUUACCCAUUUUCUCUGUUUUUAAGCCAUUUGAACGUUUUUUGAUAUGAUAUGCUGGCUUUUCAGAUCUGGGUUUGAUAAACAUGUUUUUCAGCUCUGGAUCAGACUUUGGAAGACCUAUGGGAGUCUUCUCGGAAGUCUUCUAAAAUAUAAUGUGCUAGAAGAAUUCCAGGAAGUCUUCCAGACGACUUCAAAGAAGUCUUCCAAAUGACUUCCAAGAAGAUUCUUUCAUAUCAAGUGGAGUCUAAGCUUAUCUUUGUAGAGGAAUGAUCUAUAAUAGUUUUUUUGUGGUCUAUUCAGAGGCGUGCCUACAGUGUAUUGAAAAAGGCACUCGUCUUAGGCCCCCGAUUAAUAUGAACUUUUUAGGGCCCCAAAAUUUAAAAUAAUUUCUAAUCUAGUUGUUUAAACUUAUUUUUUUAAGAACCCUUUCCACAUAGUAGACUAACUAACCUUCUGAAUUCAUGUGUUUUUUCCUAUAUGACGUAAUAUAGCAUAAACUUAUUCUUUUACAGUGUUAAACUUGUGUAUUUGGUGAAAGUGAUAUAUCAUAUUGCAAAAUUGUUUUCAUUAUAGUUGUAAAUAAGUUUAUUUUUAAAAUUUACCUUAGGCCCCUAAAACUCUUCGCACGGCACUGGGUCUGUUUUGUGAUUUGCAUAUGUACUCCUUUAGUUUUGACUUUUUUUUUGUAAAUUUAAAGAGAUAUUAAUGAAAAAGUUUGGUAAAUAUGUUCAUUUUCCACUUCAAUAGCAAAACACAAUAACCCAAAAAAUUAAUCAAAUUUAUUACAAUUAAGGGAGAAGAAUUCUCAAGAAAACUUAGUCAAAUUCACAAAAGAUAAAACAUUAUAUAAGUUCAAAGCUAGAACACUUUCAUUAGAUACAAAAGUAAAAAUUAUAUCUUAUGAUCUGAGAAGACACAUUAAAACAUGUUACUUGAUAUUCUUGAUGUUACUUAACA